rnacentral:lncRNA from 1 species
GCCGGGGCAGGUCGCGCUCGCUGCCUUCUCCCCUGAAGAGAGACGCGGGGGGAGGGGGGUGCGGCGAGCGGCCCCGCUCUCUCCCCACCGCUCCGCUCGCACCCCAGUGUAAUGAGGGUCACCCCCUCCCCCCAGCUGGCCCGGGAGGGGGCGCGGGGCACGGUUGAUGCCGGCCCAGGAUGGAUCAGACCUGUGAACUACCCAGAAGAAAUUGUCUGCUGCCCUUUUCCAAUCCAGUGAAUUUAGAUGCCCCUGAAGACAAGGACAGCCCUUUCGGAUGAUCCAGAUUCCAGUACCAGUACAUUAGGAAACAUGCUAGAAUUACCUGGAACUUCAUCAUCAUCUACUUCACAGGAAUUGCCAUUUUGUCAACCUAAGAAAAAGUCUACGCCACUGAAGUAUGAAGUUGGAGAUCUCAUCUGGGCAAAAUUCAAGAGACGCCCAUGGUGGCCCUGCAGGAUUUGUUCUGAUCCGUUGAUUAACACACAUUCAAAAAUGAAAGUUUCCAACCGGAGGCCCUAUCGGCAGUACUACGUGGAGGCUUUUGGAGAUCCUUCUGAGAGAGCCUGGGUGGCUGGAAAAGCAAUCGUCAUGUUUGAAGGCAGACAUCAAUUCGAAGAGCUACCUGUCCUUAGGAGAAGAGGGAAACAG